rnacentral:rRNA from 1 species
UGGGGAAUAUUGGACAAUGGGCGAAAGCCUGAUCCAGCCAUGCCGCGUGAGUGAUGAAGGCCUUAGGGUUGUAAAGCUCUUUCGUCAGGGAAGAUAAUGACGGUACCUGAAGAAGAAGCCCCGGCUAACUUCGUGCCAGCAGCCGCGGUAAUACGAAGGGGGCUAGCGUUGCUCGGAAUCACUGGGCGUAAAGCGCACGUAGGCGGCUUACUAAGUCAGGGGUGAAAUCCUGGAGCUCAACUCCAGAACUGCCUUUGAUACUGGUGAGCUUGAGUUCGGGAGAGGUGAGUGGAACUGCGAGUGUAGAGGUGAAAUUCGUAGAUAUUCGCAAGAACACCAGUGGCGAAGGCGGCUCACUGGCCCGAUACUGACGCUGAGGUGCGAAAGCGUGGGGAGCAAACAGGAUUAGAUACCCUAGUAG